GGGACCUCUAUUGUGAUGAGGAGGAAAGCUGGAACAACACUGAGGGCUUCUCCAGCGUCAACCAGGCAGCUACAUGGGAAGAGCCCUAUAGCACCUCCUACAUCAACCUGCAGAAGAUGGACACCUCGCAGAAGAUCCACAUCAAACAACCGUCCUUCAUCGGUCCCUGAGUGGAGCCACUCAGGAGCCA